rnacentral:snRNA from 1 species
UGAGGGUGAUCUGGCUGCAACAUCUGUCACCCCAUUGAUCGCCAGGGGUCAUUCGGUGGACGUGAUUGGCUAGGCACAUGUUGCCUUCCUCCCUCA